GUAGAAAUUCUGAAAUAAAAGUCAAUAAUAUGAGACUAAUGUCAAUAAGCUCAUAAUAACUAAUAAUCAUGUCUUAUCAUAGAAAUACAUCAUCAAGGCUUAGUUUUCAUAUUUAUUUUUAAAAGUUUUCAAAACUAUGGAGCCCUGGAGGUGACAUGGAUCCUAUUUGUUUUUUUUUUUUUGUUUUUGUUUUUUUAAACUUGCGCAUGCGAGAUAGUAAGUUGGGCGCCGGAGGUAGUAAUUCAUGCACCUUUUGACGUAAUUAAACAGUCGCAGUCGGUCAAAUGCAGGCUUAUUAUCAUGGAUGAGACCAUCUCAUAAAUUUAAUUGAUUAAUUAGUCAAUAGAAGUUAAUAAAGAGUGUUAUUAUUGUUACUGUGUAACGGUAAGAGGUACAUGGAAUAGGUAUUGUGAUGAUCCGCGAUAAGCGUCCAGGUGUAGGUUUUAUUAGCUAUUAUGCUGGCCAUGAUGAUGGAGGAGUUGUCUAGGUAAUAUUAGUUUUUGUUGAUUUAUGAAAUAACGCUGCAGCAGUGACAGCUGGCAAUCAGGACAAACGAUUAACAAUGGAUGCAGGUGCACAUAGUAUCAUAUUCAUGUGAAAGUUGUGACAGAAAUCCAAAUUUACUAAAAUACCUUCAAUUUUCCACAGUAUUCUCACACAGACCACAUUCUCUUGGUUUUCAUGGUGACACUAAACAUGUUUGUUGUGUUCUGUUAAAUAUACAACAGAUAUGGCUAUGGCUCUUUAUACCACAAGGGGCGCUGUCAUAUAAAGUAACCUAAUUAAUGCUAGUUGUGUCCAACCUUAAACUACAUGUGGCAAGAACUGUCUACCUGUGUGUAGCCCCUCAUAUUUUAGUUGUUAUCAUAUUACCAAAGGGAAAAUGGACCUGGAGUCAAUUUUCAUCAUUUUUCUUUUCUGUACUUCUUCAUGUGCAGGUUUGUGUGAUGGUAACUUGAAUUGUCCAGCACAGGAAAAAGAUGGUCCCAACCACAUGUUCAGUGUUGUUUUGUAAGCAUGUACUUUCACUUCACAACACUAGAGUUAAGAAGCACAGGCUCUUCUUAAACAGGAGCAAGUAAGGAAUCAUUUUGACAUAUUAUUCAGGAAGUUAAAAAUCAUGUUUUACUAUCAUGUUUUUCAAUGUAUUACUUAGGUGCUUUAUAUUGGUCAUUUUCCAGUUUGUUUUUGUUAACAAAUCUCUGGUUGAAUCCAAAACAAGAUCAAGUUUCAAGAGGGUCUCUCAAUUUAAGAAUUUAAUACCUGGUUAAUGUUUCUGGUUAAAGUGUCUUUUGUAUUUGAUCUUCAGCUGACCAAAGAAUAUCUGGACACAAUCUCCAAGGUGUCUCAUGGGUGAGAAGCAACCAUGAGUUUCAGUGGGGCAUGAAUCAAUAAGACAGUUGGGAUGAAUAUUUACCAUCAAAACAAUCCAUACAUGGAAUCAGUUCAGAGGGAUCUGAUAAACUGAGUUCAAGAUUCAACUUGUGAAACAGAAGAAACGAAAGUCAUGGAUGAUUGAUAAAAGAAGGCAAUUGCCCAGUACUUCUGUGCUAUCAUUAUCAAAAUAAUGAUAGCACAGACGGCUAAAACUCUGGCCAGGGAAAUGUCUCAGUAAUGGAGCUGAAAAAAAGAGAUGGCGCCAGAGUUUACAGUAAAAGGCACUCUUGUCUGUACUGCCCCAUGCAGUGCCAUUAAAUGGCUAGGCCUUUAAUUCACAAACAGAAGCAAAAGCAAUCAUGUUUCCUUUAAAGUCAAAGGAAAGGAAAAUUGCAUUUUGACCUAAUUAGAAACAAAGGGAACCAUGCUCAUAAUACUGAGGUCCAAAAACCUGGCAGUGGAACGCUGGAGAAAGCAAACUGGGAAACCUGUUAAAGCAAGUGACAACAUGCCCUGCAUAAACUGUGAGGCUCCUCUUUUUAUGGAGGCACAUGUUCAGGUACAAGCUCUCUCAAAAAUGCAGCUCAACAAAACCAGGCAAAAGUUGGAUCCAGUCGCUCUGUUCCUUUGCACAACCCGUCCCAGAUGGUGUUAGCAGAAUAGUUUGGGAACUUGAAAAUAUGAUCCACAGAUAUCAUUAAAGGGGAGAACAUUAUUCUGAGAAUGGAGGACAUUUGUAUUCAAAACAUGGAUGUGACAAGACUAAACACAAGUACAUAGGACAAAAAUGUGAGUAAUUGGGAGACUAAUUCAGCAGUCACAGAAAGCUGGCAAACUGAAACAAAUUGAGGACUUCUAAGUACCUGUGUCCAGCACAUUGAAAUAAGAGGGAAAAGAAACAAGAAAGUUCCUGUCCUUCUGACACCAGACACGCUCUCCUCAAUGGAAACCUUGGUUGCACAUUAAUAGGCCUAUGGUGUGCCAGAUGAAUAUCUCUUUUUCUUCUCCAGAUCUAAGGCAGAGACUCAUCUACAGGGAUCAGACGCCAUCAGACAGAUACAAGGGAAUGCAGGGCCAAGCGUCCUGAAACUCUGUCCUCAACCAAGUUGAGGAAGCAGAGCAAGUGUCAGAGGCUUUAAACAGCGAUCACUCAGAGUCAGAGGCAGAAAAGCACUCAUCUUUCCACUCUUCCUUAUCGGGCAGGUGACAAGUUUAACUGUUCUUACCUUCAACAAAAACCAUCGCCAUAACCUGGAGGCUUAGUGAGCUUCGUGUCUGCAGCCGCACCAAAUCGAUUGAAACUGAUGUGAAUCUGAACUGUUCAAUAGGCCUAAGCAAUCACAUUUGUUUGAGAAUAGGGUGUCAUUAACAUACAUUUCUAUUAAUAAAACAAGUGUGAAUGUCAAUUCAAAAUGUUGAAAUGCUGAGGUAUCUGGUGGUUUAACAAAUAUUGUAUCACAGUCUCUGUGGUUACUAGCUUUUUAUUCUGUCUAGGCAGGUCCCCAGCUAGCAGGGAAUGUUCCCACAACAUUGGCUAACAUUCCCUACAAGUUCUUAUUAUGUUUUUAAAAAAAAUGUUUUUAUCCAAUGUUCAGAGAACAUUUUAAGGAUGUUUAUCAUUUCAAAUAAUGUUCCUAUAGCGUUAAAUGUUAAGAAGGGAAGAAUGUUUUAGGUGCCACAUUCUGAAGAUGUUUUGGUGAUGUUGUUGAAGUAACAGAUUAUAGAAUGUUCUUCAGUAAAACAUUCCCAUAAUGUUACAAAAUAGCAAAGGAAGAACAUUCUUAAGGCAACAUUUAGAAAAUGUUUUUGGCAUGUUUUUAAGGCCUCUGAUUACAGAACCGUUUUUAUAAAACUUUCCUACAAUGUUAUAUGAUAACAUAGGAAGAACAUUGUCAUGGCAACAUGCAGAAAAUGUUUUCAGAAUAUUAUUAAGGCAUACAAUCCCAAAACAUUUUUCUAAAACGUUCCUGUAAUGUGAUAUGUUAACAAAGGAAGGAAGUUUUAGCUGUAAUGUUCUCGGGACGUUUUGGGGAUAUGGGGUGUAACAUAUUAUAGACUGUCCUUCUAUAAAACAUUACAAGAAUGUUAUAGGAAAACAAAGGAAGAACAUUCCGAAAGCUUCAGUUUGAAAAUGUUUUCAGGAUGUUAUUAGGGCCUCAGAUUAUAUCAUGUUUGUUAUAAAAUUUUUCAACAAUGUUAUAUGAUAACAAAGGAAAAGCAUUCUUUAAGCAACACUUGGAAAAUGUUGUCGGGAUGUUCUGAAGGCCUCAGUUCACAAAACAUUCUUCAUAGAACAUUCCUGUAAUGUGAUACGUUAACAAAGGUGGAACACUUUUUCUGUGACAUUCUGAGAAUGUUUUGUUGAUGUUGCUGAGCUAGCAUAUAUAGAAUGUUCUUCUUUAAAGUCCGUGUAAAGCAGAAAUAAAUUUGUGUUAUGAGUUUGUCAUACCACAGAAACAUGUGUCAUUUACCACUGAGCCAAAUUUGAAAGAUUAAGAAAAUUGCCAAGUAUAUAAAAUUAGGUCUCAAAAUCAUGGAAAAACAAUCACUACUCUCUGCUGUGAAACGCUGGGGGCGUGUCAGACAGAGGCGCUGGAGCCACGCCCACACACAGGAGGGGAGCCUCCGUGUACUGUACAAGGAUGUGACGUAAAGUAACAAUGUCAGCUAGCAGCAUCAUCGGAUGGACCCAGCCCAACCUGUUUGAGCCAUCAGAGCUAGAGACUGCCUCUGAGUCAGACACUGAUAGUGCUCGGCCUUGUCCCUCACAGUCCAUGUUUUACAUUACACACAAAUGUAAAACCCCAGUCUACAUACAAUUCCUUGUCAUAGCUAUAUUGGUGCACAUGAAAUAUUACCUGUGGAUUAUCAUUGUGCUGUCAGAUGGGCAUGACAGGGUGCACGGUGUAAAAUCACUUUCAGGAUUUGCACCUUCAGCAAAAUGCAUUCAAUUGCCAAAAUGUAAAAUACGUAUAACAUACAUACGCUCAGACUUACACUUGGAGCUUAGAUGUGG